CCAGAGGUUACUGCUAUCGAGGUUCGACUAAGCCAUGCGAGUCGAAUGUAGCAAUACAUGGCGAACUGCUCAGUAACACGUGGACAACCUGCCCUUAGGUUGGGUAUAAACCCGGGAAACUGGGUAUAAUACCCGAUAGGUCUCGAUUGCUGGAAUGCAUCGAGAUUUAAAGCUCCGGCGCCUAAGGAUGGGUCUGCGGCCUAUCAGGUAGUAGUGGGUGUAGUGUACCUACUAGCCUACGACGGGUACGGGUUGUGAGAGCAAGAGCCCGGAGAUGGAUUCUGAGACACGAAUCCAGGCCCUACGGGGUGCAGCAGGCGCGAAAACUUUACAAUGCUGGCAACAGCGAUAAGGGAACCUCGAGUGCCAGGUUACAAAUCUGGCUGUCGAGAUGCCUAAAAAGCAUUUCAUAGCAAGGGCCGGGCAAGACCGGUGCCAGCCGCCGCGGUAACACCGGCGGCUCGAGUGGUAACCGUUAUUAUUGGGUCUAAAGGGUCUGUAGCCGGCCGGAUAAGUCUCUUGAGAAAUCUGGCAGCUUAACUGUCAGGCUUUCAGGAGAUACUGUCUGGCUCGAGGCCGGGAGAGGUGAGAGGUACUUCAGGGGUAGGGGUGAAAUCUUGUAAUCCUUGAAGGACCACCAGUGGCGAAGGCGUCUCACCAGAACGGACCUGACGGCAAGGGACGAAAGCUAGGGGCACGAACCGGAUUAGAUACCCGGGUAGUCCUAGCCGUAAACGAUACUCGCUAGGUGUCGGCCACGGUGCGACCGUUGUCGGUGCCGUAGGGAAGCCGUGAAGCGAGCCACCUGGGAAGUACGGCCGCAAGGCUGAAACUUAAAGGAAUUGGCGGGGGAGCAC
rnacentral:rRNA from 1 species